AACAAAUUAGAGUGCUUAAAGCAGGCAGCACACGCCUGAAUACCGAGUGCAUGGAAUAAUGGAAUAGGACCUCGGUUCUAUUUUGUUGGUUUUCGGAAGCCCCGAGGUAAUGAUCAAUAGGGACAGACGGGGGCAUUCGUAUUGCGACGUUAGAGGUGAAAUUCUUGGAUCGUCGCAAGACGGACCAAAGCGAAAGCAUUUGCCAAGAAUGUUUUCUCUGAUCAAGAACGAAAGUUAGAGGUUCGAAGGCGAUCAGAUACCGCCCUAGUUCUAACCAUAAACGAUGCCAGCCAGCAAUCCGCCGAAGUUCCUCCGAUGACUCGGCGGGCGGCCUCCGGGAAACCAAAGCUUUUGGGUUCCGGGGGAAGUAUGGUUGCAAAGCUGAAACUUAAAGGAAUUGACGGAAGGGCACCACCAGGAGUGGAGCCUGCGGCUUAAUUUGACUCAACACGGGAAACCUCACCAGGCCCGGACACCGGGAGGAUUGACAGAUUGAGAGCUCUUUCUCGAUUCGGUGGGUGGUGGUGCAUGGCCGUUCUUAGUUGGUGGAGCGAUUUGUCUGGUUAAUUCCGAUAACGAACGAGACUCUGGCCUACUAACUAGUCGCUUCCGGCAUCCUCCGAGCUGCCGGCGACAAACGAUCUUCUUAGAGGGACAGGCGGCUCCUAGCCGCACGAGAUUGAGCAAUAACAGGUCUGUGAUGCCCUUAGAUGUUCUGGGCCGCACGCGCGCUACACUGAAGGAAUCAGCGUGUCCUCCCUGGCCGAGAGGCCCGGGUAACCCGCUGAACCUCCUUCGUGCUAGGGAUUGGGGCUUGCAAUUGUUCCCCAUGAACGAGGAAUUCCCAGUAAGCGCGGGUCAUAAGCUCGCGUUGAUUACGUCCCUGCCCUUUGUACACACCGCCCGUCGCUACUACCGAUUGAAUGAUUUAGUGAGGUCUUCGGACCGGUGGGCGAGGGGGUCCGCCUCCUCGAUUCCGCCGGGAAGAUGCCCAAACUUGAUCAUUUAGAGGAAGUAAAAGUCGUAACAAGGU
rnacentral:rRNA from 1 species